rnacentral:rRNA from 1 species
CUUACCCUACGGGACGCAGCAGUGGGGAAUAUUGCACAAUGGGGGAAACCCUGAUGCAGCGACGCCGCGUGAAGGACGAAGUAUUUCGGUACGUAAACUUCUAUCAGCAGGGAAGAAAAUGACGGUACCUGACCAAGAAGCCCCGGCUAACUACGUGCCAGCAGCCGCGGUAAUACGUAGGGGGCAAGCGUUAUCCGGAUUUACUGGGUGUAAAGGGAGCGUAGACGGCAGCGCAAGUCCGAAGUGAAAGCCCGGGGCCCAACCCCGGGACUGCUUUGGAAACUGUGAAGCUGGAGUGCGGGAGG